GGAGGAAAGAAAGGGCCACAGAAAGGCUGUUAUUAAGCUAUGAUUAAACCGGUUCUUGACGGAAGUCGUGCUGUCGUUGAUGCGGGUUGGGUUGACAACAGUGACCUGGAGUGUGUCGUUUUAGGGAGUGGUUAGUCUUUGGCCUGAGCCUGCACCAAAAUGACGGAAAGGCAGAAGGCCACCGAGAACUCAAGGUUCGUAACUCAAAGUCUGUAGUAAGCUAUGGGCCCAAGGGGACGAGGAGAAAGCUUCAGCAGAACCACCCAGCUCCAUAAAGAUGGCGACUCCAGACGUGCAUGACUGCAGCACCCCAGCUGAGUUGGUGAUGAUGUCACGUGCCAUGCAUGAGUACAAAUCAUAGACCCGAGAGCUCUUUCACUUCCACCUCAGUAUGUGCCAAGCCUGCUGCUGGGUCCUCUGUUCCCUGGCCAAUGCUGGGGCAUACACAGGUGGCCAUGAUGAGUCUGUGUCCUAAAUCCUGAGCCAAGGGAUGACCCAACUGUCAACUCAACCUAUCCUUCCACACUUGGCAGGGAUAGUCUUAAGUAUGGCCGGAAGGAGAAAUCUGCAAUGAAGACCAGAAGAUCUGCAUACCUAUGCCAGAUGAACACAUUUUUUAAUUGACUUAUACUCAAAUAUUCCAAAAUUACAAGAACCUUUCAGGCUUCGGGAAGCAAGUGUCUCUACCAUGCUAAGUGUGCUCUUGUCUGAAUUUACUGAUAUUUCCUCUGAUUCAUCAGCAUUUAACAUCCAAAACCCCUUGGCUCCAGAUCAUCGCACAUCUUGACAUUUAAUGCCCUUUUAAUGUUUCUGUUCAAAACAGUAGCGACAUUUUAAGUCAUACCAUUCCUUUUUGAAAUUUCUUUCCUUAAACAUAGCUCAGCACUGUAAGUAAUAAUUUAACCUAAAAAGCAUGAGUGUAGAGGGUUCGAGGUCCCUGUGCACACAGAUACACAUGAGGGAAACCAGGCAAGUUAAACAGGCAGGCUUAUCUCUUCAGAGGAAGAAGAUGCUUACUUAUCUUCCACCUGGAAUGCUGGGAACGGUUGUCAUUUACAGCCUGGUCCUUUGCUCUCUAUGGGGCCAGGAUUCACCAGACUUCCCCAGACUCCUCCCCUGCUGUCCCUGAUAGACCACGAGCAUUGCAUCUCAGGCCAUCCUUAUGAAAGACGCCAUUUGUGCUUCAUAGAAACCUAGGUAACAUUCAUGUUAUCAUAUAUCGUCACAUUAUCAAACAGCUUUCUGUUCAUUUUUUAAAGUAUGUUUCAUUUAUCCAUUGACAAUUUUAUACGUGCACACAGCAUAUCUUAAUCAUAUCUACUCCUAUUUUUCCUCUUUGUCUCCCAAACCACCCCAACCAUGUCCCCUUUCAAUUUCCAUCUACUUCUAUAUUUUUUUUUUUUGUAGCCCACUGAGUCCAGUUAGAGCUACCUACUGGGGUGUUGACGGAUCUUGUUGACCUGGCCUUGUAUAGAGCUUGUGCAAGCAAUCAUAGCUCCAGUGAGUUCCUAAGUGCCAUGACCAUGUCGUGUGCAGAAGACAACAUCCUGUGGAAUCCCUUCCUGUCCGCUGGAUCUUAGUCUGACCCAAUGUCUCACACAAUGUCCUGGCAGAGUGAGAGGGUUGAAAUAGAUGUCUCUCCUUAGUGCUGAGCUGUCAAUGGUCAGUAAUUUACAGGACUCUGACCAGAGAUACGAAUUUCUGUGUUGUUUCCCACAGCAAAAGUGGCUCUAAUCUAAGGGCAGAAACAUUGUGUUAAGAAUAUGCAUAGAGGACUCCAUGAAUGCAAACUCUGAAGGGAGUAAUCCCGAUGAUGCUGGUUAGGUUAAACCUAAGUAGUGAAUAUAUGACCUUUCAUUGCAUUUCAUUUUGAUUUGAAGUUUCCAGUUUUUGAAACAUUUAACUCAAAAGAGAAAGUGAAGAUUGCAUGAACAUACUUUUCUAUAUUAAUUUUUGCAUAAAUGCAUCUAGUUGUCUAGUUGGAUUUACUGAUUAUGAUGUUGUAAGUAAAUGUUUCCUAUUGCUCAAAAGUCUUACAAUUUGAUGAAGACUUAAAUUGUGGUUAAAGCCAGUAGAUGUUAUUUGUCAGAGAAUGCAGACCUUCAAAAGCCAGGGAAAUAUAAGCAUUUUUAUGAAAAGGAAAUUAUUCUGAAAAAAAAAACCUGAUGAAAUAUUAAAGUAUAUCCUGCCCUGCCAAACGCAUAAAUGCGUUUAAAAGUAUCUAAAAGUGCUACUUAAUAUAUGAUGUGAUUAUCUGAUAAGAGAUGAGACAAGAGUUAAUGAAUUAUGCCUAAGGAGAAGCGGCACAAUAGUGUUAUUUAAGAAACUGCAUUCUGUCACUGUAUCCCAUGAUAUUGAGGAGCAGUGCAGAGUCCUAAGAAUUGGUUAUCCUUCCAGAGGUGAAGUCACAGGUUAGGAGGAUAAGAAGGAGAGAUCGAGACUCUAAAGACAGUCGGGUAAAGUCCGGUGUUCACACAGCUAGUGUAUCCUGGCAGGCUGGGGUGGAAUGGCUGCUCUCACAGGCGUCUCCUGCUCCUUAAACUGCAGACUUCACUUUGCUAUUUAGCUCUGGUACCCAACUGUCCCAGAACGGCACCUUCCAACUGCUGCUGCUCCUGAUUUUCAGGAGUGCCCUUGCCUUUUCUCCAAGGCUAAGCGAACUGGUUUGUGUAGGAUUGCCAGCUCAGUGGAUUUUAGCACUAACGAUUAUAGGCUUUAGUACCGAGACUUUGAUCAUUGAGCCACUCAAUCAUCCUUUUCCUGCCAGCUCCUGAGAAGAGGACCAUUCAGCAUUUGUUUCUGUCUCCGUCCUCCUGCUCCACUCUCGUGUUGUUACGAAACUCAUCCCAUUGGCUAAGGCAGGGCAUGUCCCACACUCUACUGGAUCUAAA